CACUGCCUGGCUAAUUUUUGUAUUUUUAGUAGAGAUGGGUUUUCACCAUGUUGGCCAGGCUGAUCUGAAACUCCUGGCCUCAUAUGAUCCAUCUGCUUCGGCCUCUCAGAGUGCUGGGAUUACAGGCAUGAGCCACCGCACCUAGCCAGGAAGAACUCUUUUAAUAGUAGCCAUUGCUCAUUUCUCUUUGGGAGGAGAUAAAGCAGCCAGCAGAAAUUUUUGAGGAUAUUCUUGGGAUAUUAAACUGAUUUCCUGACUCCUUAGUUUCUGGGAAUUUCUGGGAGUUAUUUGGAUAAAGAAGCUAAUUUUAAAUAAUAAUUUUAUGAAAUUCCUAACCAUGUUAUGAUUUUAUUUUCAGAAUUAAGAAAAAGAGAGAGCAAGAAUGUUAUGCUGCAGAGCAGAGGAUCCUAAGAAUGAACUUUCAUGAAGAUCCAUAUUCAGGAGAGAAGUUGAGUGAGAUAUUAGCCCAGUUACAACUUCAAGAAAUAAAAGGAACCAGAGAAAAACAACAGAGAGAAAAAGAAUACCUGAGAUAUGUAGAAGCUUUACGAGCCCAAAUCCAGGAGAAAAUGCAGCUGUAUAAUAUUACUUUACCUCCACUAUGCUGUUGUGGUCCUGAUUUUUGGGAUGCUCAUCCUGAUACCUGUGCCAACAACUGUAUUUUCUAUAAAAACCACAGAGGUAAGUUUCUUGAAGGAAUAGUCAGGGCCUAAUGGCAACAAGAAAAAUAAAUAAGAGUAGUGGUAAUAGUAAUUUACCAUUUAUUGAGUGCUUACUAUGUAUCAGAGACUGUUAUAAACCCUUUACAAAAUAACUAUAUGAGGCAGUGAAAAAAUUAUAAUGAGUUAUAUUUCUCUUUGAGAUCUGUUAUCUUCUUGUCUCCAUUUAUGCUGGGGAAAUAUUUUCAGCUCAUUCUACUGUAGGAGGUCUUGAGUUUCAGGUCCUUUAACUGAAGACUAUUAGAAUUUGCCUUUUAUGUAAGUUAGGACUCUAUCCAGUUGAAUUCCCUAUUACUCAAAUACUUUAAUGGUAUGUAACAUGGACGUAUUACCAUAUAUAUCCACAUUAGAUUGCUAGUUCUGCCAGGAGGCACUGAGAAAAAUAAGAAACAGUAUAAACUCUAUCAGGAGUCCCAGCUAGAGAAAACUUAGUCCUUCAUAU
rnacentral:lncRNA from 10 species